UGGGGUAUAGCUCAGUUGGUAGAGCAACGGACUUUGAUUCCGUAGGUCCAAGGUUCGAGUCCUUGUGCCCCUGCCA
rnacentral:tRNA from 1 species